rnacentral:ncRNA from 22 species
CCUGUCUCAAAGGGGUGCUCUAAAUAACGAGCUGAGAUUAUACCCAACGAACCUGGGCGGGUAAUGCUGCCAAGGGAGAAUGACAACUUUUUAG